rnacentral:pre_miRNA from 1 species
GGAAUAUAAGAACCCGUCUCUUAACUUUUAACUAAAAAAACUAAGAACCGGUUCUUAAAUAAGAGUUUUAAGAACCGGUUCUUAACUUUUUUAGUUAAAAGUUAAGAGACGGGUUCUCACUAC